rnacentral:rRNA from 1 species
CCUACGGGGGGCAGCAGUGGGGAAUAUUGGACAAUGGGGGCAACCCUGAUCCAGCCAUGCCGCGUGUGUGAAGAAGGCCCUCGGGUUGUAAAGCACUUUCAGUGAGGAAGAACGCCUGGUGGUUAAUACCCAUCAGGAAAGACAUCACUCACAGAAGAAGCACCGGCUAACUCCGUGCCAGCAGCCGCGGUAAUACGGAGGGUGCGAGCGUUAAUCGGAAUUACUGGGCGUAAAGCGCGCGUAGGUGGCUUGAUAAGCCGGUUGUGAAAGCCCCGGGCUCAACCGGGGAACGGCAUCCGGAACUGUCAAGCUAGAGUGCAGGAGAGGAAGGUAGAAUUCCCGGUGUAGCGGUGAAAUGCGUAGAGAUCGGGAGGAAUACCAGUGGCGAAGGCGGACUUCUGGACUGACACUGACACUGAGGUGCGAAAGCGUGGGUAGCAAACAGGAUUAGAUACCCGUGUAGUC